AGCGAACGCUCGCGGCAGGCCUAACACAUGCAAGUCGAACGGAUCCUUCGGGAUUAGUGGCGGACGGGUGAGUAACACGUGGGAACGUGCCCUUUGGUUCGGAACAACUCAGGGAAACUUGAGCUAAUACCGGAUGUGCCCUUCGGGGGAAAGAUUUAUCGCCAUUGGAGCGGCCCGCGUCUGAUUAGCUAGUUGGUGAGGUAACGGCCCACCAAGGCGACGAUCAGUAGCUGGUCUGAGAGGAUGAUCAGCCACACUGGGACUGAGACACGGCCCAGACUCCUACGGGAGGCAGCAGUGGGGAAUCUUGCGCAAUGGGCGAAAGCCUGACGCAGCCAUGCCGCGUGAAUGAUGAAGGUCUUAGGAUUGUAAAAUUCUUUCAGCGGGGACGAUAAUGACGGUACCCGCAGAAGAAGCUCCGGCUAACUUCGUG
rnacentral:rRNA from 1 species